rnacentral:rRNA from 1 species
UACGGGGGGUGCAAGCGUUAUUCGGAAUUAUUGGGCGUAAAGCGCGUGUAGGCGGUUUGUUUAGUCUGAUGUGAAAGCCCCGGGCUCAACCCAGGAAGUGCAUUGGAUACUGGCAGACUUGAAUACGGGAGAGGGUAGUGGAAUUCCGAGUGUAGGAGUGAAAUCCGUAGAGAUUAGGAGGAACACCGGUGGCGAAGGCGGCUACCUGGACCGAUACUGACGCUGAGACGCGAAAGCGUGGGGAGCAAACAGG